UACGUAGGUGACAAGCGUUAUCCGGAUUUAUUGGGCGUAAAGCGCACGCAGGCGGCUCUUCAAGUCUGACGUGAAAUCUCUCGGCUUAACCGGGAGCGGUCGUUGGAAACUGAAGGGCUUGAGGCGAUGAGAGGGGUGUGGAAUUCCCGGUGUAGUGGUGGAAUGCGUAGAUAUCGGGAGGAACAUCAGUGGCGAAAGCGCUCUACUGGACGGUGACUGACACUCAGGGACGAAAGCUAGGGGAGCGAAUGGG
rnacentral:rRNA from 1 species